AGGCAGAGCAAUCGUCUUGGCAGGAAAAAGGAGCUGAGCAGCUGACCUGGAGGUGGGAAUGAUGGAUUUUUGUCUUCUUUGGCUCUGGAAAAAGAAAUGAUAAUUCUGCAGGUAACGCAGGCAGCACACAAUGCUCCACAGUACAUCCUGGAACCAUUUGGAGUACAGCUACUCUUUCAAUCAGCUGAUAAAUUUGCUGUCAGGUGUGCAGAGGCUGCCAGACAGAUCAAGGACUUAAAGGGCCUGCCAUUUGAAGUCUCUGCAGUUUGAAGAUGUGCUGUCAGGGAUCAGCGUGGAGAAGGCUUUUGUUCUGCUGCUGGAGUAAGUGUUUGCAGAUGAAAGGAGAACGCCUGCGCCUGGGCCAUCAACCUGACACUUUUCCAGGCAUGAAAUUCACUUAGAACUAAGCAUGGGAUGGUGGACUGAAAAAUAACAUAUAUUUAUUUUGCCUUUGCUUACUGCUUUGAGGAGCACCCCAAUCAUUUCAUAAAGGAAUACUGAUACAUAAUUAACCUGCUGGAAUGGAGGAUUUACAGCAUAAAGAGCAGACAUUUGAAAUUUCACAAGCAAAGUUCUGAGGCUAUCUUACAGUAAUUGUUUCCAUUACUUUCAGUGUGUUUUGAUCAAGCCCUUAGCACUUCUGGAGGAGAGGUAUUUGGUCAUCUGUCAAAAAAAUCUGUGUCACAAAACCAUCACAGUAGUAGGAUUUUUUAAGCACGAACAUAGGUAUGAUUUGAUGUCUUAUUCCUUGAACUAACCCCUCAGAUCGCAGGUGAAAUGCACUGGGUAAGACAGUGAAAAUACAAAUUAUUUUUCAGUCCACAGAGAUUAUUUUUUUAAUGACUUUGACACCUUUAACUUAUGUAAGGGUAUGUAGCAAUGUAAUUUCUUUUGUGACCCUACAAAAUUGAAUAUCAAAAAAGGAGAAAGGGUGAGUCUUUAAACCUUCAGCUUAUGUUGUUAGACUGUCAACACACAUGGCCUUCUCACUUUACCCAUCAUCCAGUGUCCCCACAUACUCCUGCCAAGGAGCAGCUGACUUUAUGCUGUAUCCUCUGGUCAAAGAUCUCCAAGCACCUAACGUUGUUCAGCACCUGAUUAUUUGCUGUAGCCACAGAAAGCACUUUGCUCAUCCUUGCAAUUCAGCCACCCCUGGGAUGAGAGGCAGUGUUUUAGGUAGAGAGCAAGUAUUACACAAGGGAUCUAAGUAUAAAGUACUGAGUAUCAUGUUCCUAAUAAGUUUUGGAGAGAGGUAAACAAAGAGAUUUACCAAGAAAGUGACACAGAAUUUUUUUAGCUGACACAAUUAGCUAAAUCCCUGAUUUUACUUCUGGACUUAAAUAAAGCAUUGCCUGCUAAAUAACAUGCUGGAGAUUGGCUCAGGGGAAAAUGCUGCCAACACUAUUUUCUAAUA